UACGUAGGGUGCAAGCGUUAAUCGGAAUUACUGGGCGUAAAGCGUGCGCAGGCGGCUAUGCAAGACAGAUGUGAAAUCCCCGGGCUCAACCUGGGAACUGCAUUUGUGACUGCAUGGCUAGAGUACGGUAGAGGGGGAUGGAAUUCCGCGUGUAGCAGUGAAAUGCGUAGAUAUGCGGAGGAACACCGAUGGCGAAGGCGAUCCCCUGGACCUGUACUGACGCUCAUGCACGAAAGCGUGGGGAGCAAACAGG
rnacentral:rRNA from 1 species